rnacentral:rRNA from 1 species
GAUGAAUGCUGGCGGCGUGCCUAACACAUGCAAGUCGAGCGGCAGCGAGUUUUACACUGUAUUCUGGAAGCUUCUGAGUAGUACAGAAGAUUUAUUCAAGAGUUUUGUGUAAAAUGUCGGCGAGCGGCGGACGGCUGAGUAACGCGUAGGAAUUUGCCCCAAAGUGAGGAAUUACUGCCCGAAAGGGUAGCUAAUGCCGCAUAUGGUCUUCGGAUUAAAGCCUUCGGGCGCUUUGGGAGAAGCCUGCGUUGGAUUAGGUAGGUGGUAGGGUAAUGGCCUACCGAGGCGACGAUCCAUAGCUGGGCUGAGAGGAUGAUCAGCCAGACUGGAACUGAGACACGGACCAGACUCCUACGGGAGGCAGCAGUGAGGAAUCUGCCACAAUGGGCGAGAGCCUGAUGGAGCAACGCCGCGUGAAGGAGGAAGGCCUUCGGAUUGUAAACUUCUUUUAUGAGUGAAGAAUAUGACGGUAACUCAUGAAUAAGCACCGGCUAACUACGUG